rnacentral:sRNA from 1 species
UUUUUUUUUUUUUUUUUCCCCGGUAGGUCGCCAGCUGAGGCGGUUUGUAAGUUUUGGGUCUCAGUAUGCUAGAAUUUUGAGGCUCCCUUCUGAUGAAAAUUGAGCUGUCCAUGCAGCCAUGGAACCUGGGUUACAGCAGUGAGGGGGCCACGGCUCAAGAAACUUACACAUGUCCAAAAAUGAUUGAGAUAGAGCAGGCGGAGGCCCAGCUUGCUGAGUUAGACCUGCUAGCCAGUAUGUUCCCUGGUGAGAAUGAGCUCAUAGUGAAUGACCAGCUGGCUGUAGCAGAACUGAAAGAUUGUAUUGAAAAGAAGACAAUGGAGGGGCGAUCUUCAAAAGUCUACUUUACUAUCAAUAUGAACCUGGAUGUAUCUGAUGAAAAAAUGGUAAUUCAGUUUUGCUUUUAGAGGGAUUGAAACAUGUUGAGACUUAAAACAUUGGUUAGUGCACUUUUUCUUCUUCUCUUUAAUCAGGCGAUGUUUUCUUUGGCCUGUAUUCUUCCCUUUAAAUACCCGGCAGUUCUGCCUGAAAUUACUGUCAGAUCAGUAUUAUUGAGUAGAUCCCAGCAGACUCAGCUGAACACAGAUCUGACUGCAUUCCUGCAAAAACAUUGUCAUGGAGAUGUUUGUAUACUGAAUGCCACAGAGUGGGUUAGAGAACACGCCUCUGGCUAUGUCAGCAGAGAUACUUCAUCUUCACCCACCACAGGAAGGACAGUCCAGUCAGUUGACCUCAUCUUCACGAGACUCUGGAUCUACAGCCAUCAUAUCUAUAACAAAUGCAAAAGAAAGAAUAUUCUAGAGUGGUCAAAGGAGCUUUCCCUGUCUGGGUUUAGCAUGCCUGGAAAACCUGGUGUUGUUUGUGUGGAAGGCCCACAAAGUGCCUGUGAAGAAUUCUGGUCAAGACUCAGAAAAUUAAACUGGAAGAGAAUUUUAAUUCGCCAUCGAGAAGACAUUCCUUUUGAUGGUACAAAUGAUGAAAUGGAAAGACAAAGGAAAUUUUCCAUUUUUGAAGAAAAAGUGUUCAGUGUUAAUGGAGCCAGGGGAAACCACAUGGACUUUGGUCAGCUCUAUCAGUUCUUAAACACCAAAGGAUGUGGGGAUGUUUUCCAGAUGUUCUUUGGUGUAGAAGGACAAUGACAUCAAGAGUAGUUGAAAGUAUCUUGCCACUGUUGGCCUUUUGAUUUUUUUUUCCCACUUUUUCUUGAAAGAUUAAGUAAUUUUAUUUUAGUUCCAUUCUAGAAUGUUGGGGAGUGGGGCACAAGAAAAAAUAGUAUAGCUGAAAUGCAUCUGUUAAAAAUGUCAUGAUUGAAAGCAGAACUGAGUUUCAAAUUACAACCUUAAAAUUGUUGUUAGAUAUUUCUUCACAUAUCAGCUGCCCAUUUUGAAAAAGAAAUUAUCCAUAAAGGUAAUGUUGGUGCUCCAAUUUGCCAGCCAUUCCCAACCCCCUUCUCCCUUACCUGCCUUCACUAAAGAACCCAGAAAAGCUAAUUGCUCCCCUUUCAGCCUCUGUUGCAACUAACAACUCUCAGUGGCCUCAGGACACAGCUUUGGCCUUGGGAAUUCUGGGAAAACUUUUACUUCCUGAUUAAAGAUACAUAUGCAGCUAGGCCACCUCCUCCCCCCCUUACUGCCAUAAACACCAAAGUGAUGACUGGAGCUGGAGGAGUUAUUUGAACCAUGACAGAAGGAAGGGCCAAGAGAACCACGAAGAUGCCAGUUGCCACAUUGUUGAGCUGCUGACCCAACACCAGCCAUUGCCUGUCUCUAAACGUCUUAUGAAAUAAAACCAGUUUUGUUUAA